rnacentral:lncRNA from 1 species
GGAGAAAGAGCUGAAACUGUGCAGAAGUCAAAUGCAAGACAUGGAGAAAGAAGUGAAGAAGCUCAGAGAGGAACUGAAGAAGAACUACACGGGUCAGAACGUCAUCUCCAAGACGCUGCGAGAAAAGAACAAGGUGCGUGCUUCAAGGAAGCUUGCUUGUGUCCAUGACCACAGGAGACAAGCUCUCCCGGUGCAGCGUCCUGCUCCAUCCACACAGCGCCCCCGUGUGGCCGAUGCUUACAUCUGCCACUCCUCACGGCCGGGAGCAGGUAACCCUGAGCAAGAUGCUCAGAAUAAAACCGGUUAUCUCCGUGGGAGUCGCCCC